AUACUUACCUGUCAGGGGAGACACCAUGAUGGUGGUUUUCGCAAGGCAAGACUCAUCCAUUGCACUCGGAUAUGCUGACCCUUGUGAUUUACCCAAACGUGGGAAACUCGACUGCAUCAUUUGUGGUAGUGGGGGACUGCAUUCGCACUUUCCCAUG